AGGCCGGGAACUCAAAGGAGACUGCCAGUGAUAAACUGGAGGAAGGUGGGGAUGACGUCAAGUCAUCAUGGCCCUUACGACCAGGGCUACACACGUGCUACAAUGGCGCAUACAAAGAGAAGCGACCUCGCGAGAGCAAGCGGACCUCAUAAAGUGCGUCGUAGUCCGGAUUGGAGUCUGCAACUCGACUCCAUGAAGUCGGAAUCGCUAGUAAUCGUGGAUCAGAAUGCCACGGUGAAUACGUUCCCGGGCCUUGUACACACCGCCCGUCACACCAUGGGAGUGGGGUGCAAAAGAAGUAGGUAGCUUAACCUUCGGGAGGGCGCUUACCACUUUGUGAUUCAUGACUGGGGUGAAGUCGUAACAAGGUAACCGUAGGGGAACCUGCGGUUGGAUCACCUCCUUACCUUAAAGAAGC
rnacentral:rRNA from 1 species